rnacentral:rRNA from 1 species
CACUUCUAAGGAAGGCAGCAGGCGCGCAAAUUACCCAAUCCUGACUCAGGGAGGUAGUGACAAGAAAUAACAAUAAACCGGCUUAUGCCGGUUUAAUUGGAAUGAGUACAAUUUAAACAUCUUAACGAGGAACAAUUGGAGGGCAAGUCUGGUGCCAGCAGCCGCGGUAAUUCCAGCUCCAAUAGCGUAUACUAAAGUUGUUGCAGUUAAAAAGCUCGUAGUUGGAUUUCUGUGGGGACGGAGCGGCCGGCCGCAACUCGCGGUUCGAGCUAGCGCUUUCCCUACAUCCUGCCGCGAACCGUGCUACCAUUAAUUUGGUGGCGCCGGGGAUCGGCUCGAUUACUUUGAGAAAAAUAGAGUGUUCAAAGCAGGCCACACGCCUUGAAUAAGUUAGCAUGGAAUAAUAACUAAGGACUUCGGUUCUAUUUUGUUGGUGUUCGGGACUGAAGUAAUGAUUGAUAGGGACAGUUGGGGCGGUCUGUAUUCCAAAGCGAGAGGUGAAAUUCUUAGACCUUCGGAAGACAAACAGCUGCGAAAGCGUUCCGCAAGGAUGUUCCCUUUGAUCAAGAACGAAAGUUGGGGGAUCGAAGACGAUCAGAUACCGUCGUAGUCUCAACUAUAAACUAUACCAGCUAGGGAUCGGCCAACGUUAUUUAAACCGACUUGGUCGGCACCUUAUGAGAAAUCAAAGCAUCUGGGUUCCGGGGGGAGUAUGGUCGCAAGGCUGAAACUUAAAGGAAUUGACGGAAGGGCACCACCAGCCGUGGAGCCUGUGGCUUAAUUUGACUCAACACGGGAAAACUUACCAGGUCCAGACAUAGUAAGGAUUGACAGAUUGAUAGCUCUUUCUUGAUUCUGUGGGUGGUGGUGCAUGGCCGUUCUUAGUUGGUGGAGUGAUAUGUCUGGUUAAUUCCGUUAACGAACGAGACCCCAGCCUGCUAAAUAGCGCGUGUGAGCUUUGCUCGCAGCGAGCUUCUUAGAGGGACUAUGAUGCGCGAUAGCACAUGGAAGUUUGGGGCAAUAACAGGUCUGUGAUGCCCUUAGAUGUUCUGGGCCGCACACGGGCUACACUGGCGCCUGCAACGAGCAUAUCAGCUGGCCCGAGAGGGUCUUGGCUAAUCUUUUGAACCGGCGCCGUGCUUGGGAUUGACCUUUGCAAUUGUUGGUCAUGCAACGAGGAAUGCCUUGUAAACGCGAGUCAUCAGCUCGCAUUGAAUACGUCCCUGCCCUUUGUACACACCGCCCGUCGCUCCUACCGAUGAAUGUUCCGAUGAAAUUUUCGGAGAGUGCCUGUGAACUUGGCUCUGCCUUGCGAACGGGAAGCUCAAAGUCACUUAAAUCUGAACAUUUCGAGG